AGGGAAUCUUCGGCAAUGGGGGCAACCCUGACCGAGCAACGCCGCGUGAGUGAAGAAGGUUUUCGGAUCGUAAAGCUCUGUUGUAAGUCAAGAACGAGUGUGAGAGUGGAAAGUUCACACUGUGACGGUAGCUUACCAGAAAGGGACGGCUAACUACGUGCCAGCAGCCGCGGUAAUACGUAGGUCCCGAGCGUUGUCCGGAUUUAUUGGGCGUAAAGCGAGCGCAGGCGGUUUGAUAAGUCUGAAGUUAAAGGCUGUGGCUCAACCAUAGUUCGCUUUGGAAACUGUCAAACUUGAGUGCAGAAGGGGAGAGUGGAAUUCCAUGUGUAGCGGUGAAAUGCGUAGAUAUAUGGAGGAACACCGGUGGCGAAAGCGGCUCUCUGGUCUGUAACUGACGCUGAGGCUCGAAAGCGUGGGGAGCGAACAGGAUUAGAUACCCUGGUAGUCCACGCCGUAAACGAUGAGUGCUAGGUGUUGGAUCCUUUCCGGGAUUCAGUGCCGCAGCUAACGCAUUAAGCACUCCGCCUGGGGAGUACGACCGCAAGGUUGAAACUCAAAGGAAUUGACGGGGGCCCGCACAAGCGGUGGAGCAUGUGGUUUAAUUCGAAGCAACGCGAAGAACCUUACCAGGUCUUGACAUCCCGAUGCUAUUUCUAGAGAUAGAAAGUUACUUCGGUACAUCGGUGACAGGUGGUGCAUGGUUGUCGUCAGCUCGUGUCGUGAGAUGUUGGGUUAAGUCCCGCAACGAGCGCAACCCCUAUUGUUAGUUGCCAUCAUUCAGUUGGGCACUCUAGCGAGACUGCCGGUAAUAAACCGGAGGAAGGUGGGGAUGACGUCAAAUCAUCAUGCCCCUUAUGACCUGGGCUACACACGUGCUACAAUGGUUGGUACAACGAGUUGCGAGUCGGUGACGGCAGGCUAAUCUCUUAAAGCCAAUCUCAGUUCGGAUUGUAGGCUGCAACUCGCCUACAUGAAGUCGGAAUCGCUAGUAAUCGCGGAUCAGCACGCCGCGGUGAAUACGUUCCCG
rnacentral:rRNA from 1 species